AUGUGCCAGUAUAGUGUGACCCACACAACGCAAGCCGACACUAAAAAGCCAAUCAUAAACUAUGACGCGCUCUACAUCAGCUGCAAUGAACUUGCACAAACGAUGGCAAUUGGACAGAAGAUGGACAGCAUGGUGGCCGAGAUUGCAAUUAUUGCAUUGAGUGAAGCAGGGCUGAGGCCAAAGAAGAGAUUAAUGCCACUACGAGUAGCUACAUUCUUCCAGAACAAUAGUUUCACAAGGAAGGACAUAGACAAACAUUUUGACAACAAAACCAGGAGGCUAAGCAGAUGUGAAUCAGUAUCAUUUCCGACACUCGAGAUUCUAGACAAGGAGAAUCCAAAGGAAACAGGGCAUUAUUGGCUAAUGGUGUUGAACAUCAGGGACAAGCGCUUCGAGGUACUGGACUCGGCAAGGACGUUCAAGGACAAGGCAUUAGUAGAAAAUGCAAACAAAAUCAUGAAGGGCAUCAAAAUAAACUGGGAGAGGCAUUACAGCAAGUCAAGCGUGCAAAUUGCAGAUUGGGAACUCCACGAAAUCAAGUGCCCAAAGGAGGAUAACAGGCAUGAUUGCAGCAUAUAUAUGCUAUACAACAUCGACAGCUGGGACGGCACCCAUGCCCUGGAGUAUGGGCCAAAAGACAUAGGCAACAUGAUGAUGAUACUAACAGCAAAAAUGGUGGACAACGACCACAACGACGUCAAUUGGGCAAAGAUGCUCAACAUCAAGAAGAAGCAGCAUGCAUAA
rnacentral:rRNA from 1 species